AGCAGUAGCCACGGUAAUACAGAGGGUGCGAGCGUUAAUCGGAUUUACUGGGCGUAAAGCGUGCGUAGGCGGCUUCUUAAGUCGGAUGUGAAAUCCCUGAGCUUAACUUAGGAAUUGCAUUCGAUACUGGGAAGCUAGAGUAUGGGAGAGGAUGGUAGAAUUCCAGGUGUAGCGGUGAAAUGCGUAGAGAUCUGGAGGAAUACCGGUGGCGAAGGCGGCCCCCUGGACAAAGACUGACGCUCAGGUGCGAAAGCGUGGGGAGCAAACAGGAUUAGAUACCCCCGUAGUCCCUGUCUCUUAUAC
rnacentral:rRNA from 1 species